rnacentral:rRNA from 1 species
CCUACGGGAGGCAGCAGUGGGGGAUAUUGCACAAUGGGGGGAACCCUGAUGCAGCGACGCCGCGUGGGUGAAGAAGCGCCUCGGCGCGUAAAGCCCUGUCAGCAGGGAAGAAAAUGACGGUACCUGAAGAAGAAGCCCCGGCUAACUACGUGCCAGCAGCCGCGGUAAUACGUAGGGGGCAAGCGUUAUCCGGAUUUACUGGGUGUAAAGGGGGCGCAGACGGGGAUGAAAGCCAGGAGUGAAAGCCCGGGGCUCAACCCCGGGACUGCUCUUGGAACUGCGUGGCUGGAGUGCAGGAGGGGCAGGCGGAAUGCCUGGUGUAGCGGUGAAAUGCGUAGAUAGCAGGAGGAACACCGGUGGCGAAGGCGGCCUGCUGGACUGCAACUGACGUUGAGGCCCGAAAGCGUGGGGAGCAAACAGGAUUAGAUACCCUUGUAGUC